UACGGAGGGUGCAAGCGUUGUCCGGAUUUAUUGGGUUUAAAGGGUGCGUAGGCGGCCGAUUAAGUCCGGGGUGAAAGCCCACUGCUCAACAGUGGAACUGCCCCGGAAACUGGUUGGCUUGAGUACAGACGAGGGCGGCGGAAUGGAGGGUGUAGCGGUGAAAUGCAUAGAUACCCUCCAGAACCCCGAUUGCGAAGGCAGCUGCCUAGACUGUAACUGACGCUGAGGCACGAAAGCGUGGGGAGCGAACAGG
rnacentral:rRNA from 1 species